AGAGUUUGAUCCUGGCUCAGAUUGAACGCUGGCGGCAUGCCUUACACAUGCAAGUCGAGCGGCAGCGCGGGGGCAACCCUGGCGGCGAGCGGCGAACGGGUGAGUAAUGCAUCGGAACGUGUCCUCUUGUGGGGGAUAACCAGUCGAAAGACUGGCUAAUACCGCAUGAGAUCGAGAGAUGAAAGCAGGGGACCGCAAGGCCUUGCGCGAGAGGAGCGGCCGAUGCCGGAUUAGCUAGUUGGUGGGGUAAAAGCCUACCAAGGCGACGAUCCGUAGCUGGUAUGAGAGUACGACCAGCCACACUGGGACUGAGACACGGCCCAGACUCCUACGGGAGGCAGCAGUGGGGAAUUUUGGACAAUGGGGGCAACCCUGAUCCAGCCAUGCCGCGUGUGUGAAGAAGGCCUUCGGGUUGUAAAGCACUUUCGGACGGAACGAAAUUGCGCAGGUGAAUAUCCUGCGUAGAUGACGGUACCGUAAGAAGAAGCACCGGCUAACUACGUGCCAGCAGCCGCGGUAAUACGUAGGGUGCGAGCGUUAAUCGGAAUUACUGGGCGUAAAGUGUGCGCAGGCGGCCGCGCAAGUCGAGUGUGAAAUCCCCGAGCUUAACUUGGGAAUUGCGCUCGAAACUACGUGGCUGGAGUGUGGCAGAGGAAGGUGGAAUUCCACGUAGCGGUGAAAUGCGUAGAGAUGUGGAGGAACACCGAUGGCGAAGGCAGCCUUCUGGGCCAACACUGACGCUCAUGCACGAAAGCGUGGGGAGCAAACAGGAUUAGAUACCCUAGUAGUCC
rnacentral:rRNA from 1 species